ACCCGCUGAACUUAAGCAUAUCAAUAAGCGGAGGAAAAGAAACCAACAGGGAUUGCCCUAGUAACGGCGAGUGAAGCGGCAACAGCUCAAAUUUGAAAUCUGGCGUCUUUGGCGUCCGAGUUGUAAUUUGCAGAGGGCGCUUUGGCAUUGGCAGCGGUCCAAGUUCCUUGGAACAGGACGUCACAGAGGGUGAGAAUCCCGUACGUGGUCGCUAGCCUUUACCGUGUAAAGCCCCUUCGACGAGUCGAGUUGUUUGGGAAUGCAGCUCUAAAUGGGAGGUAAAUUUCUUCUAAAGCUAAAUACUGGCCAGAGACCGAUAGCGCACAAGUAGAGUGAUCGAAAGAUGAAAAGCACUUUGGAAAGAGAGUUAAAAAGCACGUGAAAUUGUUGAAAGGGAAGCGCUUGCAGCCAGACUUGCCUGUAGUUGCUCAUCCGGGUUUUUACCCGGUGCACUCUUCUAUAGGCAGGCCAGCAUCAGUUUGGGCGGUUGGAUAAAGGUCUCUGUCAUGUACCUCUCUUCGGGGAGAACUUAUAGGGGAGACGACAUGCAACCAGCCCGGACUGAGGUCCGCGCAUCUGCUAGGAUGCUGGCGUAAUGGUCGU
rnacentral:rRNA from 1 species